rnacentral:rRNA from 1 species
UACAGAGGGGGCGAGCGUUGUUCGGAAUUACUGGGCGUAAAGGGCGCGUAGGCGGCCCGCUAAGUCGAACGUGAAAUCCCCGAGCUCAACUCGGGAACUGCGUCCGAUACUGGUGGGCUUGAAUCCGGGAGAGGGAUGCGGAAUUCCAGGUGUAGCGGUGAAAUGCGUAGAUAUCUGGAGGAACACCGGUGGCGAAGGCGGCAUCCUGGACCGGCAUUGACGCUGAGGCGCGAAAGCUAGGGGAGCAAACGGG